CGCGCAGGCGGACCGAUAAGUCAGUGGUGAAAUCCUACAGCUCAACUGUAGAACUGCCAUUGAUACUGUCGAUCUUGAGUAUAGUUGAAGUGGGCGGAAUGUAUCAUGUAGCGGUGAAAUGCAUAGAUAUGAUACAGAACUCCGAUAGCGAAGGCAGCUCACUAACCUAUAACUGACGCUUAGGCACGAAAGCGUGGGGAGCAAACAGGAUUAGAUACCCUGGUAGUCC
rnacentral:rRNA from 1 species